rnacentral:rRNA from 1 species
CGGAGGGAUCAUUAAAGAGUUCUAUAACUCCCAAACCCAUGUGAACAUACCUAACGUUGCCUCGGCAGGUCGCACCUACCUUGUAGCACCCUACCCUGUAGGGCCUACCCGGGAGGUGCGGGUAAGCCUGCCGGCGGCCCACCAAACUCUGUUUGAUAUUGAAUUCUGAACCUAUAACUAAAUAAGUUAAAACUUUCAACAACGGAUCUCUUGGUUCUGGCAUCGAUGAAGAACGCAGCGAAAUGCGAUAAGUAAUGUGAAUUGCAGAAUUCAGUGAAUCAUCGAAUCUUUGAACGCAUAUUGCGCCCAUUAGUAUUCUAGUGGGCAGGACCGUUCGAGCGUCAUUUCAACCCUUAAGCCUUCGUUGCUUAGUGUUGGGAGCCUACGGCAACGUAGCUCCUCAAAGUUAGUGGCGGAGUUGGUUCACACUCUAGACGUAGUAAUUUUUUAUCUCGCCUAUUAGUUGGACUAAUCCCCUGCCGUAAAACCCCCAAUUUAUCAAGGUUGACCUCGAAUCGGUUCAGACAAACUCGCUAAAUUGAAGCAUCUUAGUCAGCGAAGGAAAAGAAACCAACAGGGAUUGCCCUAGUAACGGCGAGUGAAGCGGCAACAGCUCAAAUUUG